rnacentral:rRNA from 1 species
CAGCAGCCGCGGUAAUACAGAGGGUGCGAGCGUUAAUCGGAUUUACUGGGCGUAAAGCGUGCGUAGGCGGCUAAUUGAGUCGGAUGUGAAAUCCCCGAGCUUAACUUGGGAAUUGCAUUCGAUACUGGUUAGCUAGAGUGUGGGAGAGGAUGGUAGAAUUCCAGGUGUAGCGGUGAAAUGCGUAGAGAUCUGGAGGAAUACCGAUGGCGAAGGCAGCCAUCUGGCCUAACACUGACGCUGAGGUACGAAAGCAUGGGGAGCAAAUGGGAUUAGAUACCCCCGUAGUCCCUGUCUCUUAUAC